rnacentral:misc_RNA from 1 species
GAUGAAGAACGCAGCGAAUUGCGAUAUGUAAUGUGAAUUGCAGAAUUCAGUGAAUCAUCGAAUCUUUGAACGCACAUUGCGCCCCUUGGUAUCCCGAGGGGCAUGCCUGUUCGAGCGUCAUUUCACCACUCAAGCCUGGCUUGGUGUUGGGCGACGUCCCCUUUAGGGACGCGCCUCGAAACGCUCGGCGGCGUGGCACCGGCUUUAAGCGUAGCAGAAUCUUUCGCUUUGGAAGUCGGGGCCCCGCCUGCCGGAAUACCUACUCGUAAGGUUGACCUCGGAUCAGGCAGGGAUACCCGCUGAACUUAAGCAUAUCAAUAAGCGGAGGA